rnacentral:lncRNA from 10 species
AAACCAUAUCAACAGGUGUAUGCUUGCACUUCGUGCACGCUUUUGCUCUUGCCCUUAUCACAGGGUAAUUGUGGAUGUCUCAGCUGUCACUCCUGGUAAACUGCUGGGCCCUGGAGCCUCAUGGACAGAGGCGGCAGGGUAUGAAGCCCAAAUUCUGGAGUCAGGUUGCCUGCAUUGAAACUCCUUCUCAUGCAGUCUAUGCGACUCAGUAUCACUCUGGUCGCUGCAUUGAGAAGUGACUGUAGAGAUGAAAGGUCCAGUUAGGAUUCCUGCAAUAAUCCAGACCAUCACCUCGAAUUGGAACUCAAGUCUGAAUUACAUGUGUUCCAUAAUCAAUUCCAUAUAUAUUUCUACUUCACACGGACCUUAAUUUGCCUAAUGGAAACAACCGGCGGUCACACCAAGCAGUGAGCAGGAAUGACAGUGUUGAAUGCUUCUCCUCAUGACUAGAGAGAGAAUUACUUUCAUUCUGUCAGAGGGGCAUGGAGCCUUAUUUUACUUCACCCCACACCCAAUCCACAUAUAUACUAUUUUCUCUAUAUUCAACACAGAUCCAGAAUCUUACUAUCCCUUACUACCUCCUCGGCUGCCUAUUUGGUCAAGUGACCAUCAUAUCUAGCCUGGAGUCUUGCUGUGGUUUUCUAACUGGUGUCUCUGCUCCACGUUUACCCUUCAACAGCAGUCUAUUAACACAGCAGCCAAAGUGACACUUUUUAAGUGUCACUGUGGUACUAUUCUACUCUCUGCUGGAAACCCUGCCAUGCCUCCCCAUUUAGCUCAGAGUGAUGGCCAAAGUCUUUCUCAUGAGCCCUAAAUCCCCAUUCCAUGAGCCUAUAAUUCGCCUUCUACUCUCUCCUUUCUUACUUGCUACAGCCACAGAAGACUUCUUGAUAUUCCCCAAAUAUUGUAAACAUCUUCUCAUCUGAGGGUCUUUCCUCCAGCUGGCCCUUCUACCUGGAACACUCCUUCCUCACAUAUUCUCUUGGAAAAAAUUUCCUCACAUUUUUUCUAGAAUGCAAAUUCAAAUCUCAUCUCCUCAGUGAGGUCUACUGUGACUGUCCUAUUUAAUGCUGCUACCUGAACAUAACCCUACAUUACUACUCUCCUCCAUAUUUUGCACAACUGUUUUUCUUUUCACAAUACUUAGUGUCUAUAUACUCUCUCUAUAUAAUUUACAGUAUUAACCAGCUUAGUCUAUCAUGCUAUGGUACCAAAUGACCUCAAUCAAUCACUUACAAAAACAUUUUAUUUCCAUGGACUUGACUUCAGUGUCGUCUUCAUUCUGAAUAUUCCAGGCUGAAUUGCCUUUCUCCUGAUAGAAAAGAGCAGAAACUUCUUCUUGGAAGUAGCAUCUGUUACUUCCACUGACAUUUCAUUAACUAAAACAAAUAAUAUGACCAAGCUAGAGGUAAGAAAUGUAGAAAGUGUAAUCCUCCCAUAGAAAAGGACUUAAUACUCAUUAAUGUUUAUUAUUUAUUAUUUGUUCCCCCAAGUAGUACAUUAGGGACAGGAUUCUUCAUAUAUUUUUCUCCUGAUAAAUAUUAAAUACCUAAAGUUUUGCAUACAGUAGCU